rnacentral:lncRNA from 1 species
UGAUUUAUAGAUCAAAAUGAAUUCUCUGAUGUAGCUGGCUCUUGAUCCCUUAACUGCUUUGAAAACUUGAAUUAAGGUUUUCGGCUUGUGUAAGAAUGUGCUUGGAUGCCAAUGGAAGCUUUUCAGCAUAAAAUUCAUUUUCUACCCAGCCCAAAGCCCUGGAAGGAGGAAAUCAGUCACAGAGUCACCAUCAGGAUCUAUUGAGAACUAAGAAUUUUGGGCAGUCCCUUCAAGCCGUGAGAUGAUUUACUGGGAAUACCACUUGGAGAAGGAACUGUGGUCACAACCAGAGAAUUCUUGUUAGUCUACUCCCUGGAAAAUCAUAGAUUGGAACAGUGUUUUCAUAUUGAUUUAAAGGAAUUUCUGCAUAAGAGACAUGGACUCUUUGUUAUGUAAUGAAAAAGUGCACAGGUUCAACAGGAAAUUGAACUACUGGGCAGAGAAGUGCUUUCUAAAGCAGAAGGCUGGAUUGCACAGAAGAGCAGGAGAUUUGUUUUAACAGCCCAGCACGUCUCCUUUCAGCCCCACACCUCAGAUGCUCUCAGCUCCCCAGGGAUGAAUCACAAAAAUGAAAGGCAAAUAAUCUGUGGGAAAACAAUGAACUAAAUCAGUACAAAUAAAAGAUAUAAUUCCAGGAAGUUUUUGCUGGUU